CAACUACUCCCUCUGUCCCAAAUUUCUUGUCUUAGAUUUGUCUAGAUAUGGAUGUAUCUAAUACUAAAAUGUGACUUGAUACAUCCGUAUGUAGACAAAUCUAAGACAAGAAUUUUGGGACGGAGGGAGUACUUU
rnacentral:pre_miRNA from 1 species